CACAAACAUACGGUGUCAAUAUUUUUUUAGUACACCAGAUCCGGAUUUCGACAAUAAAUGUCUCUUCAGUGAUGUUAGGGAUCGAAACGGUAUUAAGACGGCCAUAUAAAAGUACCCUCAUUUUUAGAUAGACUCUUGAAUUUUAAGAGUCAAUGUAGGAUGAACAGAUCAUAUAAACCGGAGAGAAAAUAUGAUACAAGCCCAAACGAAAAAAUAUAAACGAG
rnacentral:lncRNA from 1 species